AGAAAUGGAAUUUAUACAAAGUUUCCCAAAAUGAAUUUAUUUGAAAACCUAGAACUAGUUUUAAUUUGUAAUUCAAAUUCUGUUGGGAAUUUGGUCUUGCUUACUAAAACAAAGUUGUAGGGUUUUUGUUUUGGGACAACUUUGUUUUUGGGAGCAAUAGGUGAAAAUGAUUUUAAAUUGGUCCAAAUGAAUUUAGAAAAGUUUUGGAGAAAAGAAAUUCAAAAAAAAAGAAAAGAAAAGGGGCA
rnacentral:lncRNA from 1 species